GCGUGAUUAAUUAAGCAUUAACCAUCAGUGGAUCACAAAAGCUCAUAUAUAUUGACUACAUAAAUUUCUUUACAUAUACAAAUAGACAAAAUACAUUAAAAUCUCUAGUCGUUUCCCACCCACUGGUCCAGCCUAUUCUUGGAUGACAUCUUCUGGGCAUACUUAAGUUACACCGACUGCAUCUAAGAAAUAGAGGAGACAAGGGUGAGUACGAUAAAUCAUACUCAGCAAGCAAAUACUUCACUAUUCAAUAAGGAGCAAUGGUAUGAUGGUGUAGAUCAACAGACGAACUGAAUUCAGAGGAUAACAAUGUAACAACCAUUGGAAUCAUAUUUUGAUGUAAAUGGACAAAAGAACAAAAUACCAGAUUUAGUAAAAACAACAAGGAAUCUAUUGGCGUCACACAUGACCGCAAGCUUCCCAAUCCGGGAGUCACAGAGGUGAAAUUUCACACUUUUACGCUCUUAAGAGGGGUACUCCGACGUCGACAGCCUCGACUAGAACCACACAGGUUCCAGAAGAGCAGAGCUCUUUUACCCACUAAGUCCCGGACACCUGUACCUACUUAUGUCGGUCGCUCCUACGGAUCCAUCACCGACACGUUCCCGAACAAGAUCCGACCUUAACGGAGAGCCCAGACAGUCCCAUACCUAAACUGUGACCGGUACAAUACGUUUGCCGUCGUGACACCAAUAUAGAUGGAUGUGUGUUUGAAUCAACAUUAGGACCACUGAAGUAUCGGUCAAAGACAAUACACUCAUGGCUUUUCAUGAGUUCCUCCACAAUACUCUGAUUCCAUCAACAAAUGGAUUAUGAGAAAAACACAUACCUCUUUCAAGGAUCAAUAGAGGAUCAACAAAGAUCAAGGUGCAAUGAUAUUACCAGAUAAUCAAGCAAGACAACAAUAAGGAGAGAUCAGGGAGUUUAGCAAAGCAGCUACUUGCCUCAGAUAAUAUGAUUUCUCGUUUAGAAUAAUAUUCUGCAAGAAGAUGAAACUCCAUCAUCUUUGUAUAAAAUCUGACAAACGCGCAUAUACUAAUAUUCUUCUGACGUAUGGCUUCGUUCUUCCCUCCAUCAGCAUUUACACGAUCUAUAUAUCUUCAAACAUGGACGCAUGCAUACUUGUAUUCUUCAUCUCUCUUCUCUUCGCUCUCUCCGCUGGUAUGCUCUAUUUCUCUCAUGCUCUCUCCUAGUAUCUUCUCUUCGCUCUAUUUCUCUCAUGCUCUCACUCUUGGUGAUGAGGAUGUGCAAAACGAGUAGCAGCAGCUAUUUAUAGAUGGUGAGCCCAGAGUGAACUCAGCCGAGCUAUUCUUGAAGCACACGAUCAUCUAGACUCUACCUAUUACGUGGCAUGCAUGCCUUGGUCUACGUGGAGAACCUGGUAAAAGAUCUAAGCCGCAAUGGCCUUUGACCCUUGCCCCUUGACCCUUCGAACUGCUGCCCCUUUUGCUUGUGCAAAAGCCAAACAAACCUGACCACUAUACAAAACCUCCACGUAGCAAUUUCUUUGUCCUAAAUAUCGAAGGAUGCUGCCAGCACAACCUAGCUUCAUCUAGUACCAGGCCACGUUGGCCUCAUGC
rnacentral:lncRNA from 1 species